GGCCUGAUGUUCCCUUGAUUACAGCCCUGCCAUCCAGGACGAGGGCUGAAAAUAACUUGGGACUGUUUGGCCCAGCAGCUCUGGCCAACGGAGGAAAAAAAAUACUCCUACAGACACAAAAACAGAUAACCAUUGUUCCUCUGUGGCAGCUCGCCGUCCUCUUGAGGCACUGCAGCCGCCGAGCCGCAGCCCCAAACAAUGUCAGCUAUGCAGUAAACAGACAAACACCACCAAAUGGGACUGCUGGGAAUUCUGACCUCCAUCAUUCACACGUUUUCUGAUGGACAGCAGCGAACAGCAAGAAAUCUGCAAUUAACACAUAUAGAUGUGUAUAGAUUCACAGCUCAGAAGGGCUCUCAGUCAUCCAGGUCACAAUCAUCCAAAGUUUAAUCCAAAAGACAACUGGACUGCAAGAAGUUUUGAAGACAUUUCAGCUCUAAUUCAAAAAGUUUGUUUAGUUAAGAUGUUUUUACGAACUUCAGCCAAGUGCAGCUACCUCUUGGAUUAAACUUUGAAUUUUCUUGGUACCAAAUACAGGUUUAAGUGCGUUUUUCAUCGCAUUACCAAAUUUUGGAAACCCAUUCCAUCUGGUAAAAAGAAGAAACAGAAUAGUAUUA